GGGCCCGUAGCUCAGCCAGGCAGAGCGGCGGAUCAAGGGCCGAGGCUCCAGUCCGGGUCUUAGGACCGUAUGGGAUGACUUGGAGAGACCCGUAGGUCGGGGGUUCAAGUCCCCCCGGGCCCA
rnacentral:tRNA from 1 species